UUAACCUAUAAGAAAAAACAGCCCAUAACACAACAAAUCAGCAAACAAAAGGCCUGUAGAACCAGUCUGCAGCAUGUUUCUGUGACAAUAAUCAGCCAGCAGAAUCACUUCAUAUUCAUCAGCAGAAUGGACCAGCGAACCCAGCAGAACCAGCACAGUCUGGCACCGACCGCAGCAGAGGCUGAAAAUGACCAACCAGGCGGAAAAAACGCAUUCAGCAUUGCCCUCAGCUCAAUGUGACCUGAAGGUGGAAAAGGUUGAAUCCAAACAGAAUCCGAACGGAACCAAAUGAAAAUCUGAAGUGCUUUUAUUUCUCCGCUCAUAUUUUGGACAUUUGACCUGAUUUUAGCUGCUGCUGGUUGUUUUUUCCCCUCUGACGACAUCUAUGAAAUAAUGAGCUCCUCCAUCCUCCAUCCAGCCCGCAUAAAGGAGAAAACCAGGAGCUGAACCGAACCUAUUCGAACCGAGCCAAGCCAAAAGGAUCGUUCCGGACUGAAAACGCGGAACACAAUGGUGGGAUAGAGAAAUGAGAUCUAUGAGAGAAAACAAGGAGCGGUCGGUCCUUACCUCAUGACUCCGAGAAGAGCUGAAGAUCAGUGACGAAGAGGAGAGAGGAGAGAUGAGAUGAGAGGGAAGAAGAAGAGGAGGGGGGUGAAUUUAUUUAAUCUGCUGUUCUCUAAAAAAAAAAACUGCGGUUUUCUUUUAAAAUCACAUCUAAAUAUAACAAAAAGCAUAUAAACGCAGUCGGAUUAAAACAGUCUGAUCAUUUCUGCUUAAAACGUCAUUAGAAUUAUAGCGAGCUGCUGAAUUUUCUUCUCAUUGCUAUAGUAUUUCCCCACCACAAGAGGGCGCUGAAGUCUGGCAGUCCAAAGUAUUCGCAGUCAAUUAUGCCACCUGUUGGCGGAAAUGGUGUAAUACAGCCAUAAACAUCUAUUGCAAUGUUCAUAUCUUGAAGACCUUUAAUUCUAUCUGUUAGAGAAAAUAAUUGAUUAGAUAAGUUGAGUUACCACGCAGAUGACACACAGCUCUACAUUACAAUAUGACCAGGUGACCAUGAACGUAUUCAAGGUAUAGAACCAGAACCAAACAUGGAGAAGCAGCAUGAAUCGCACAGUUCUUUUAAAUAAAAGGGAGUAGGAAACAUUUGAUGAAGUCUUGUGCUUCAUUUAGAGUUGUUUUUGUUAACUGAAACAUCAUUCAUCUCAGCCUGUAGCCCAAUAUUUCUUUACUGUCCUUAAUCAGGCCCCUGCAGUGUGUGCUUUUUUCCAUAUGAUUUAUUCAUGUAUUUAUUCAUUUGAAGAAACAUACACAAUGAGCUACCACAACAUUUGAUUUCCCUUUGGGAUUAAUAAAGUAUUUUUGAAUUGAAUUGAAUUGAAUGUAAAGCAUUUGAAUUGUCUUGUUACUGAAAUGUGUUCUUCAAAUAAAAUUGCCUUGCCUUGAA